CUAUAGAACAUGAUCUUUAGCGG
rnacentral:miRNA from 1 species